rnacentral:rRNA from 1 species
GUGGGGAAUAUUGGGCAAUGGGCGAAAGCCUGACCCAGCAACGCCGCGUGAAGGAAGAAGGCUUUCGGGUUGUAAACUUCUUUUGUCAGGGACGAAAAAAAUGACGGUACCUGACGAAUAAGCCACGGCUAACUACGUGCCAGCAGCCGCGGUAAUACGUAGGUGGCAAGCGUUAUCCGGAUUUACUGGGUGUAAAGGGCGUGUAGGCGGGAAAGCAAGUCAGAUGUGAAAACCAGAGGCUCAACCUCUGGCCUGCAUUUGAAACUGUUGUUCUUGAGUGUCGGAGAGGUAAUCGGAAUUCCGUGUGUAGCGGUGAAAUGCGUAGAUAUACGGAGGAACACCAGUGGCGAAGGCGGAUUACUGGACGAUAACUGACGCUGAGGCGCGAAAGCGUGGGGAGCAAACAGGAUUAGAAACCCGGGUAGUCC